AGAAGGUGUGUCCACUAUUUUCCCAGUGGUGUAUGAAAGGCAGGCCAGCUCCUGAAGCCCAACGUUGUUCCUCAAGUUUUUUUUGCCUGGUCUGUAUCAAAAGACAGAAUCUUGAUGACUAAGACAUUUUCUUUGGUACCUACAAGAAGGAUCCAGCUCUCUACUUCUAUCAGCUCCUGGAUAACUACAAGAAAGGGAACCUCCACAUCAUUCCAGACACUCCUCUGGCUGAGGAGAGAUCAGGAGAUGACAGUGAUGUGUUGAUAGACAGAGACAUCAUGGCCUCCAUGCAGAGGAAUGUGUGGAUGGACAUAUAUUUAAGGAAGACACUAAACCAGAAAAUACCACAUUACACCCUCUUAAAAGACUUCUAAGAUUGUUGUCAUGCCUACCACAGACAUUCAGAUGAUGUGUAUUCUUGAUUGUGAUUUCAUGUUUGGAGCUGAUGAAGGAGAAAGUACCUGGAAUGUCCUAGAAUUCUCAAGACCCAGGAGAUGAACAUAUGCCUGAGAAGAAGAACUAGUGUGGAACUGUCAGCCAGGUUUUUGAUGAGUGCUCAGACUGCUUCCUGAUCCGGCACCACAUUUACUAUAGUGGACAGAUGCUCUAGUCUCUGAUGAGGAGUUGCUAGCUGUUAGGAAAAACCUGGAAUGGGCUCCACUGCAUGAGGCUUGGUCGAAGCCUUCCCCACUAAUAACAAGAACACCCAUGCCAUGGGAAAGAAGAUAUUAGAGGAAAAUUUCCCAAGAUUUGGCAUCUCUAAGGUACUUUCAUCAGACAAUGGCCCCUCCUUCAUUGUCCAGAACCCCCUCUAGCUCACUUGAAGGCCCUACAAUUGGUCAGAAAAGAUGCCUUGGAAAUGCUGAAACACAAUAAAAAACAAAAACAAAAACAAAAAAACAAAAAAACAUACUAACCAGGAACCAUCUUCGUGCCACAUAAAUUUCAAACAGAAGAUCCUGUCCGGGUCCGGUGCCACCAUUCUGGCAAACUUGAACUCAGAUCAAAAGGAUGCUCCCUGGUGCUUCUGACAAGCCCUGCUGCCGCACCUCCAGCAUGUAACCGCUUCUGGCCUGCCAUGGCCCACUGGCCUGGCACUGCACA
rnacentral:lncRNA from 1 species